CGCUGUGGAGAAUACCCACAAGUCCAAAACGGCGAUGUUGUGCUAGUGGAUGCACUGUUUUUGAGAUACCAAUGUAACUCCUACUACACACAAGUCGGUUCAGACACUGUGACGUGUCACAACAAUGACAGCUGGUCACAACUACCCGUCUGCCAAGUCGCAUUCUGUGCCCUGGAUCCUACAACGGCCUUGUUCCCGAGAGGACUGAAGCCUGAACCCCAAUAUAUAAAGGAAGGAGAGGAGAAGUUCCUUCCAUGUAUUUGGAGAUAUUACAGCAGCCGUGUUCGGUGCAUCAAUGGAGAAAUAUAUUUUACCCGGUGUUGUCAACUAUAUUACCAUGAACAUGGACGGUGUAACUAAAGCAGAGCAGAGGAAUCACUAACUUCCCUGAAAUAGGGUCGACGAGAAAACAACGACACCCAAAAACAUGUCAUCAUUGACAUCAGCAUUAUGCUUUAAAU